rnacentral:rRNA from 1 species
UGAGGAAUAUUGGUCAAUGGGCGGAAGCCUGAACCAGCCAAGUCGCGUGAGGGAAGACGGUCCUAUGGAUUGUAAACCUCUUUUGCAGGGGAGCAAGACGCGGUACGUGUACCGUGCUGGAGAGUACCCUGAGAAAAAGCAUCGGCUAACUCCGUGCCAGCAGCCGCGGUAAUACGGAGGACGCGAGCGUUAUCCGGAUUUAUUGGGUUUAAAGGGUGCGUAGGCGGACUGGUAAGUCAGCGGUAAAAAUUGCGGUGCUCAACGCCGUAGUGCCGUUGAAACUGCCGGUCUUGAGUGAGCGAGAAGUAUGCGGAAUGGACGUGGUGUAGCGGUGAAAAUGCAUAGAUAUCACGCAGAACUCCGAUUGCGAAGGCAGCAUACCGGCGCUCAACUGACGCUGAGGCACGAAAGCGUGGGGGAUCGAACAGGAUUAGAUACC